CCCCGCGCCGCCAACGCCUCCGCCUGAGAGGAGGGGCUGGGCGACGCCUGCUCCUGGGCCCUCAGGCUUCUGGCCGGUCAGCGCUUCGGGGGCAUUACCAGGCUCCUGCCACCAGGCCACGCAAGCGGGAAGAGUCUCCUCUACUUGGAGCGGGAAGGGACCCGAAAUUGUUCGGGUGCCACCACAGAGCGAACCUGUUGGAGAAUGUACUCCUUGGAAAUGAGGAAGACAGAGGAUCGAGGGAACAGAAGGUUCACCAUGGAGGAGCAGGAAAGGGAAUUCCCAGUAUGAUGGCAAGUUGCUAAAUUAAAUGUUUUGCCCAUUAUUUUUUACUGGGCUGUUGGUCUUUU